rnacentral:rRNA from 1 species
GUACCGGAUAAUUCGACCCGCCUAACUCCGUGCCAGCACCCCCGGUAAUACGGAGGGUGCAAGCGUUAUCCGAAAUCAUUGGGUUUAAAGGGUCCGCAGGCGGGUUUAUAAGUCAGUGGUGAAAGCCUACCGCUAAACUGUAAAACUGCCAUUGAUACUGUAAGUCUUGAAUUCGGUCGAAGUGGGCGGAAUGUGUAGUGUAGCGGUGAAAUGCAUAAAUUUUACACAAAACACCGAUGGCGAAGGCACCUCACUAGGCCUGGAUUGACCCUCAGGGACAAAAGCGUGGGGAUCAAACAGGAUUAGAUACCCUGGUAGUCCACGCUGAAAACAAUGAUUACUCGUUUUCGGCGAUAUACAGUCGGAAACUAACCGAAAGUGAUAAGUAAUCCACCUGGGGAGUACAAUCGCAAGGUUGAAACUC